rnacentral:tRNA from 1 species
AGAAAGGUAAGCUAAAUAAAGCUAUCAGGUUCAUACCCUGCUUAUAGAGAAGUACUCUCCUCUCUA